rnacentral:rRNA from 1 species
GAUGAACGCUGGCGGCGUGCCUAAUACAUGCAAGUCGAGCGAACGGACGAGAAGCUUGCUUCUCUGAUGUUAGCGGCGGACGGGUGAGUAACACGUGGAUAACCUACCUAUAAGACUGGGAUAACUUCGGGAAACCGUAGCUAAUACCGGAUAAUAUUUUGAACAGCAUGGUUCAAAAGUGAAAGACGGUCUUGCUGUCACUUAUAGAUGGAUCCGCGCUGCAUUAGCUAGUUGGUAAGGUAACGGCUUACCAAGGCAACGAUGCAUAGCCGACCUGAGAGGGUGAUCGGCCACACUGGAACUGAGACACGGUCCAGACUCCUACGGGAGGCAGCAGUAGGGAAUCUUCCGCAAUGGGCGAAAGCCUGACGGAGCAACGCCGCGUGAGUGAUGAAGGUCUUCGGAUCGUAAAACUCUGUUAUUAGGGAAGAACAUAUGUGUAAGUAACUGUGCACAUCUUGACGGUACCUAAUCAGAAAGCCACGGCUAACUACGUG